rnacentral:rRNA from 1 species
GACGAACGCUGGCGGCGUGCUUAACACAUGCAAGUCGAACGGAAAGGCCUGCUUUCCCUUGUGUAUUGCGGGUACUCGAGUGGCGAACGGGUGAGUAACACGUGAGUGAUCUGCCCCCAACUUUGGUAUAAGCCUGGGAAACUGGGUCUAAUUCCCGAUAGGACUGCAGGGUGGUGCCUGUGGUGGAAGACGAUUUUCUAGUGGUUGGGGAUGAGCUCGCGGCCUAUCAGCUUGUUGGUGGGGUAAUGGCCGACCAAGGCGGCGACGGGUAGCCGGCCUGAGAGGGUGGACGGCCACAUUGGGACUGAGAUACGGCCCAGACUCCUACGGGAGGCAGCAGUGGGGAAUAUUGCACAAUGGGCGGAAGCCUGAUGCAGCGACGCCGCGUGGGGGAUGACGGCCUUCGGGUUGUAAACUCCUUUCGACCGCGAGGAAGCCACCUGGUUGGAAGGGUGGUGACGGUAGUGGUAGAAGAAGCACCGGCUAACUACGUG